AAAUUGAAGAGUUUGAUCAUGGCUCAGAUUGAACGCUGGCGGCAGGCCUAACACAUGCAAGUCGAACGGUAACAGGAAACAGCUUGCUGUUUCGCUGACGAGUGGCGGACGGGUGAGUAAUGUCUGGGAAACUGCCUGAUGGAGGGGGAUAACUACUGGAAACGGUAGCUAAUACCGCAUAACGUCGCAAGACCAAAGAGGGGGACCCUCGGGCCUCUUG
rnacentral:rRNA from 1 species